GGGUGUGAGGACAAUCUGGCUGCAACAUCUGUCACCCCACUGAUCACCAGGGUUGAUUCUGCCAAUCUGGCCAGCUAGGUGGGUGUCCCCACCCUCCUUCACUGCUCUGUGUGCGUACCCCCAGAAGUGGCACACUUGGCUCCAGAGGAUGACCUUCCCUGAUAGAACCCCCAAACAAUCUCUCAAGGUCUAAAAAGGGACAGACUAAAACUUGAAGCGUGGUAGAGGAUAAAGGAUGGCCUGUGGGGCUAAACAGACCU
rnacentral:sRNA from 1 species